UGGGUCCUAUUGCACAAUGGGGGAAACCCUGAUGCAGCGACGCCGCGUGAACGAAGAAGGUAUUCGUAUCGUAAAGUUCUGUCCUAUGGGAAGAUAAUGACAGUACCAUAGAAGAAAGCUCCGGCUAAAUACGUGCCAGCAGCCGCGGUAAUACGUAUGGAGCGAGCGUUGUCCGGAAUUAUUGGGCGUAAAGGGUACGCAGGCGGUUUAAUAAGUCGAAUGUUAAAGAUCGGGGCUCAACCCCGCAAAGCAUUGGAAACUGAUAAACUUGAGUAGUGGAGAGGAAAGUGGAAUUCCUAGUGUAGUUGUGAAAUACGUAGAUAUUAGGAGGACUACCAGUAGCGAAGGCCACUGUCUGGACACAAACUGACGCUGAGGUACGAAAGCGUGGGGAGCAAACAGG
rnacentral:rRNA from 1 species